AACGAACGCUGGCGGCAUGCCUAAUACAUGCAAGUCGAACGAGCCCUUCGGGGUUAGUGGCGCACGGGUGCGUAACGCGUGGGAAUCUGCCCUUGGGUUCGGAAUAACGUCUGGAAACGGACGCUAAUACCGGAUGAUGACGAAAGUCCAAAGAUUUAUCGCCCAGGGAUGAGCCCGCGUAGGAUUAGCUCGUUGGUGAGGUAAAGGCUCACCAAGGCGACGAUCCUUAGCUGGUCUGAGAGGAUGAUCAGCCACACUGGGACUGAGACACGGCCCAGACUCCUACGGGAGGCAGCAGUAGGGAAUAUUGGACAAUGGGGGCAACCCUGAUCCAGCAAUGCCGCGUGAGUGAUGAAGGCCUUAGGGUUGUAAAGCUCUUUUACCCGGGAUGAUAAUGACAGUACCGGGAGAAUAAGCCCCGGCUAACUCCGUACCAGCAGCCGCGGUAAUAC
rnacentral:rRNA from 1 species